rnacentral:rRNA from 1 species
UACGAGUCUCACAAACGUUAUUCGGAAUUACUGGGCUUAAAGGGUGCGUAGGCGGUGAAGUAAGUCGGAUGUGAAAUACCUUAGCUUAACUAGGGAACUGCACUCGAUACUACUUUGCUAGAGUAAGACAGAGGUGAGUGGAACUGAGGGUGGAGCGGUGAAAUGCGUUGAUAUCCUCAGGAACACCGGUGGCGAAGGCGGCUCACUGGGUCUUUACUGACGCUUAUGCACGAAAGCUAGGGUAGCAAACGGG